GGGAAGGUGGCUCAGUGGUAGAGCACUUGCCUUGCAUGCUCGAGGCCCUGGGUUCAAUUCCUUAGCACCCCA
rnacentral:tRNA from 1 species